rnacentral:misc_RNA from 1 species
UGAGAAUACUGAAAAUAGUGGAUUUGAGGAUAUGUGGUGUACGCGAUAUAAAUAUAUAAAUUCUAAGAUAAAAAAAAAUUAAAAAGCCAUGCACUACAAAGGAUUAACGCAUUGGUGGAAACUACAGCUUCGCGUAGCUGACUCAGCGCAAGUGUCUCGAAGGCGUCUGCUGGAUGACCAAAUGCUAAAUUUGGUUACUUCAGGGCUGGGAUUGUGUUACCACGCGUGGGAUAUUCUAAUAUUCCGGGUUCCGCUAGUGCAUCGUGAAUGGUUUUAACGGUUGUCUUAUAUCAGGUGUCGACCAUCAAACAUCAUUUGACCACAUCCUACGGACGUACAAUUAUUAUGAACUAGGCAGUGGGCCAAUUUUUUUCGUUUUACCACGCUAAUGGCGAAUAAUUUUCAAG